GGUGACAGGAGAGCGAGCGAAUGCCUGGUCCUGCACUGUCCGGAGCUCUCUCGGCAGCUUCGGGCCGUGGAGCCGGCUGCAGUACACACUCCAGGACCGGGCAAGGGGGAAUGGGGCUGGAGAGCUGAGGCAGGGAGGCUGAAAUGAAGCCGCCGCAGGGUACGCUAGACUCUUCUUGACUUAGGGAAAGUGCUGAAAGUCAAAGCCCAUCAAUAAAAUCUGCGCGUCCUGAACUCGCUGCUGACAGGCCGCGUCGCCGCAGCACCUGGGAGCCGGGACAGUGAGGACGCUGCAAGCCGCCCUGGGCCGCCGGGCCACGUGUGGGUCUCACCCUCUCGUUCCUGCCCUGGACCCAGCAGCGCCGCGACCAAGGAGCCCGGGUAGGGCGGGAAGCAGAGGCCUCCCAGGCCCUAGUCAGAGUUAGGGUCUCACAACCCUCUCCCCUCCCCAGGCCGGGGAGGGCUGCCGGCUCUAACCCUUCCCGCGGCCCAGAAGCUCGCAGCGCGGGGAGGAAACCCGGGUCAGAGGCGAAGGAGGUGGCGCCGGGUGUACAGGUCCGCGGCCUCCUGUGCGAGGUUUCAUUUCGCAGGAGCGCGACUUUCGGAGGAUGCCGGGAAGUGGGGCCGCGGCCCUGAGUCCCAGACCAGCGAAAGUCGGUCUUCUCUUUCUCUCUCCUUUUACGUUUCAAGCGAGCAUUAAAGAAGCUUGGACUCAAGACUCAAGUCCGCUGUGCAAGAGCGAGGGACUUGGGGGGAGGGGUGAGGGCAGUGAUUCUGUCCGAACUGGAGGCGAGUAUCAUUUUUACAACCUCUCAAUUAGCGACCGAGUGGGAUCCCUGGUCCGCGGAGCUGGCAAACGGGUCCAGUGAGCACUAAAAGCAAAGGCUCCCACCCUGGCCGCCAAGUCCCAGGUGCCUCCCCCGCUUCCAGGCCUUUGUCCCUCUCCUUUCUCCAGCAACCUGCCGGUUCCCGCUAACCCGGCAGCUUCACUGAUCCCAGAGCCUAGAAAAUCCAAGAAGAUCCCAGAGACGCCCCGUGGCGCCUCCAGGCUGUGGCCACUGCUCAGCUACGGUGGAAGCCGCUGUGCCCUCGCCCUUCCUUGCCUCCUGCCAAAUGGCCAGUGCUAGGGGCUCCCUGGGUUCCGUCCUCAGUCCUCUUCCAUUCACUCUGGGAGGCCAGUCUCUCUCUCUCUCUCUCUCUCUCUCUCUCUCUCUCUCUCUCUCUCUCUCACUGUCUCUCUCUCACUGUCUCUCUCUCUUUCUCUCUCUCUCUCUCUCUGUCUUCUCCCUGCCCACCCCCGAAAUACCUUUAAAAUAACAUUGUCCAGUGGAGUCUCCCACCAAAGGGAUUCCUAGCAGCCCAGCGGGCCAGACUCCCAAGGCUUUGCCUCCCAGUCCCUCCAUGCUGUUGUCCAGAUAGGAGCUAGGUUUAAAACUCCUGACCUGUAGAACAAUUGGAAUCAGCGGCACUCUCCGAUUUUUGCAAAUAGGGUUCCUAGGAAAGUUUGCUUUCCAUUUCAUCACCCUGAGACGAUCCCCCUCAUCUCUCUUUUCCCUGUGACCUCUGCCCCCAAGAAGCAAGAGUUCAGCUUCAAAGGAAAAGCAAGCAAGCCAAGGCCACCUCAGUCCCUUCUCCUUGGAUAUCCCCUCUCUAAACCGCUACCCGUUCUAAAGGCCAACGACCCGGUCCUGCGAUUUGUCCCGUUGUGGACCUGGGAACAGGCAGGCGGGAACUGGGAGCUUUACUGGGGGAUUUGAGGCUGGGGAGGAGGAGGGAGCAAAUGUCAUGGCUGGCUCGCUGGAGCAGCCAGGGAACCGGAGCUAAGCGCAUCCUGACGGGCUUUUAAAAUGACAUUGAUUAGGACAAGCUGUUCCCAACCCCAGUAAGAGUUAAUCUGCCUGUUAAUCAAGGCACUAAGGGGCUCAAUGCGAGUUUUAUUAGCGACAGGAGAACAGAGGCCGCAGCCAGGGAUCAAAAGCCGGGAUCCCAUAUAUUUGUCAACGCUAUCUCCAAAAAAAAAAAAAAAAAAAAAAA
ensembl:lncRNA